rnacentral:rRNA from 1 species
AGGACGAACGCUGGCGGCGUGCUUAACACAUGCAAGUCGAGCGGAAAGGCCCUUUCGGGGGUACUCGAGCGGCGAACGGGUGAGUAACACGUGAGCAACCUGCCCUGGACUUUGGGAUAACCCUCGGAAACGGGGGCUAAUACCGAAUAUUACUUCUGCCCGCAUGGGUGGUGGUGGAAAGAUUUUUUUGGUCUGGGAUGGGCUCGCGGACUAUCAGCUUGUUGGUGGGGUGAUGGCCUACCAAGGCGACGACGGUUA